rnacentral:sRNA from 1 species
AAUGAUUGGGAAACUCAUCAAUUAUACGUGAAAUACCGAGACAAGCCGUCUCAUCAAUGGCGGGCCCCACGCCGGCACUCGUGCAGGUGUUGCCCUCGCGGCACAGGCGGAUUACAAAGAGGAGAAGGCACUCAAAUCCUGUCAUACGGAGUUUCAUCACAUAUCCUUUGGUGUGGCU